GGAUGAAUAUUGGGCAAUGCCCGCAAGGGUGACCCAGCAACGCCGCGUGGAGGAUGAAGGUCGUAAGAUUGUAAACUCCUGUUAGAGGGGAAGAACAUCACCGAUUGGAUCGGUGUUUGACUGUACCCUCAGAGAAAGCCCCGGCUAACUACGUGCCAGCAGCCGCGGUAAUACGUAGGGGGCAAGCGUUGUCCGGAUUUACUGGGUGUAAAGGGCGCGCAGGCGGGAUAGCAAGUCAGAGGUGAAAUCC
rnacentral:rRNA from 1 species